UAGUUGAUGGCAAAUUAAUUAUCUUUCCAAAAAUACUCUCCACAUGCCACGCAUUGCAUGUCACCCUCCCUCCCUGCUCUCUCUAUAGUAAUUUCUCUGGUCAUCUUCUCCCUUGUUUCUCCAAUCGUCGGCGCGGCGGCGACAGGUACUAGGCUUGGAUGCCUCGUCGGCGAUAACGAGGGCCGGCGGCGGCGGCUCUCCGGCGAAUAAGCAAGUCCGGGGCGGAGGGAACCAGGGGCGGCCGAGCGGGUGCAGCAGCUCACAGAGUCAGGGGCAGGUGUGGCGGCUCGCAGGCGCGGCGGCGGUGGGAAACCGGGGCAAGUGCUGCGGUGACGGCUCGUAGGCCGGCGCGGCGGCGAGAAUCAGGAAGGGCGGAUGCGGAAAUCAGGUAGCCGGUCCAUGUCCACUCCGAAUUGGCCUCCUUCCCCAUCCGAUUUGGCCUCAUUUAUCCCGGCGGCAGAAAUCAGGUAGCCGGUCCAUGUCCACUCCGAAUUGGCCUCCUUCCCCAUCCGAUUUGGCCUCAUUUAUCUCCAAUUUUGCAAGGUGAGAUGAACUGUGUUGCAUAUGCUCCUGUUUACUCCGAUUUUGACCAGGGGAUCUGCUGUUUAUUCAACAUGAUUAGAGAAGAGCACAUAUAGCCUAUGGGCCAAUGUAUCAAGGUGAGAUAAUUGCAUAACUUAUACAUGAGAGAUGUACAUAUAUUAUCAUGAAUUAGUAGUUAUUACUUUAGGUGAAUCAUGUCUUGCCUUCUCCGAUUCUAACCUGAAUUAAGUGUGAUAUACGGGUCGCUGUCGCUGUCUCCCAUUCCAGGACCGCCGCGCCGCCACCCCAAUGCUCAAAGCUGCACCAUCAAGAUGACGUUGGCUGGCUCAUCCGCUGCUACCACAUCGGCAUCGAUACCUACUCCUUCCAAUGGCCGCGAUUUUCAGCCGCAUUCUCUCUAAUAUAUCCUACAUAUAUUGUUUAGAUUGAUUCAUGGGUUAAUUCAAUUCAAUCAUGUCUUGUUCUGUUCGUUUGCAGGCGAUGAGGUGAGCCUGCCAUUUGCUUCCUGCUUCCCUUCCAUACACAAAUAAUUGAGAUGGGAUAACGUAGAUCCAAUUCAAUAUACAAUAAUUUUCAAGAUAUUUAUGUCUGACCAUAUGGGACUGUGAAGACCCUAAAACAAUUUUGCCUGCUGAGCUACUUGAAGACCAAAGCAAUUACACAUGGAACGUUUCGUAUAUGUACUUUACCUUGCCUAAUUUCAUUUGUUACAAUAGACUGUACUGUACUAGAAUUUCCAUUUUAUAUCACAUGGGUGGGGUUCUUUCAGCCAUAUCACGCCCUCUUAAGUGUGCCAGAUGGCUGGCUACCGGAAUAAUGUAAAUUUUGCCCUACCUUGAAGUUUAUCCUGUAUGUCGGUGAUAACGUGCGUCGUCAUCCUCUCCGGAGAAUGGUGCAUGAAGAUAUCUAAAAAUCUUCAUGCAUCAUCUGAUUCAAAUUUAUGUUUGUUUAUGUUUGCAUACUUUAUUUUUGAAACUCACUCAAUCGGGUAGCGCAUGUUAGCUAAUACAUCUGUUGUUCUUACAUUUCUUGGAAUUGCUUUGUUUUACUUGCCUUAGAUCAUUAUUUAUUAUAGUACUUCUAUAGUUACUUUGGUGCAGGGUCUAUAACUUCCUUUAUUUUUUCAUCAAUGCAACUAUGAAUUACCAUUUGAUGUGAUGCUGACAAGUUAUGACAUAGCCUUAAUAAAUUAAGACUUUCCUUUAGAAAUUCCCUGGCUCUAUGGUGAUUGAUGAGGCCAAGGGUCUUAAAAAUCCAUCAAUUCUAUGUGAAACUGCUGCUUUGUUUCUAAAAUGACUCACUUCUUAACCGGGGACUUGCAUGGCUCUGAUUACAACACUUAUUCUGCAUUUUCUUCAGGUACUGUAUAGUGUCUUAAAGGCCAUUUUACGAUGACAAGGUGUCUACCACUAGAAGGCAUUCCUAUCCAGAACAAACUUUCUGAACUAUGGGCAUAGAUGCCCUUCUACAUGCUAUCCGUUGUCGGGCCACUCGAUGAGCUUCUUUCUAUUUGCAAGGAAGCAGGUGAUUUGCGAGCAAGUAUGUACUCACUCCGGUCCUUUUUAAUUGACACGGAGGUGUUCGCUGGCAUGCAUGCAAUUAGCGUCUGUGCGCGUCAAUUAUUGCAGACCGGAGAAAGAUAAUGAAGUGAAUAAGGAAAGGGCUGAGGAGCACAAGGAACAAACCUCAGUAUAAUAUAUAAUGAAGACGAGAUAGGAGGAGCAAUGACAUCCUCCAAGCUAACAAGCGUCAAGCAUUCAAUGGACUUUUCAUGUUCUAAAGAAGCUCAAUAAUGGCAUAUAUACUUGUAUACCAAGCUAGAGCACAUUUGAGUUGGACAAUCCGGUGGACAAUGGCAUGAGGAAGCCACAUGAUUUAGCGAAGCGUAACGGACGGACUCUCAUCCUACCAUCGUCACACAAGCUUGUACUACUACAUCACAUGGGCAAUAUAUAUGAAAACUAUUACAUGAGACAGUUUCCAAGUGAAAUAUUAAUCAACAAGAUGUAAUUGUUCCUGGCAACGACAAAUGGGAAUACAGAGCAAGAUCUGCUCACCGAAUAUAAGGGAUUAACAUGUUGCUUUCUUCUCAGAGAGAGAUAUUUUUGUAAAAAAAGAUUGAUAGAGCUAGGAACAAUAUAAUCCAAGCCAUCUCUUAGCUGCUUUGUGAUGCUCCAAGCAACGCGCUUGAUUGUGAAACUACUCGGAAUCUUUGUCUAUUGAUCUUUUAAACAUCUUCCAUGUGUACUUUUAAUCGUAACAACAUUAUUGCUCUUGGAUGAUGGUUAGAAACUGAAGAA